GUUUCCGUGGUGUAGUGGUUAUCACGUGCGCCUCACACGCGCAAGGUCCCCGGUUCAAUCCCGGGCGAAAACA
rfam:Ixodes scapularis strain Wikel colony gcontig_1107728859890, whole genome shotgun sequence.